rnacentral:rRNA from 1 species
AGAUUGAACGCUGGCGGCAUGCCUUACACAUGCAAGUCGAACGGCAGCACGGGAGCAAUCCUGGUGGCGAGUGGCGAACGGGUGAGUAAUACAUCGGAACGUGCCCAAUCGUGGGGGAUAACGCAGCGAAAGCUGUGCUAAUACCGCAUAAGAUCUACGGAUGAAAGCAGGGGAUCGCAAGACCUUGCGCGAAUGGAGCGGCCGAUGGCAGAUUAGGUAGUUGGUAGAGGUAAAGGCUCACCAAGCC